rnacentral:rRNA from 1 species
CCUACGGGUGGCAGCAGUGAGGAAUAUUGGUCAAUGGGCGCGAGCCUGAACCAGCCAAGCCGCGUGAAGGAUGACUGCCCUACGGGUUGUAAACUUCUUUUAUAAGGGAAUAAAGUGAGGCACGCGUGCCUUUUUGUAUGUACCUUAUGAAUAAGGAUCGGCUAACUCCGUGCCAGCAGCCGCGGUAAUACGGAGGAUCCGAGCGUUAUCCGGAUUUAUUGGGUUUAAAGGGAGCGUAGACGGGUUGUUAAGUCAGUUGUGAAAGCUUGCGGCUCAACCGUGAAAUUGCAUUUGAUACUGGCAGUCUUGAGUACAGUUGAGGUAGGCGGAAUUCGUGGUGUAGCGGUGAAAUGCAUAGAUAUCACGAAGAACUCCGAUUGCGAAGGCAGCUUACUAGACGGCCACUGACGUUGAGGCACGAAAGCGUGGGGAGCAAACAGGAUUAGAUACCCUUGUAGUC